rnacentral:pre_miRNA from 1 species
AGGGUUAUUGUCUGGAACUUCUGAAACACUCCCGGACCACCGACUUACUAAUCGUUCAAGGUAGUGGAAUUCUACCUCGAAGGUAUAUUUUAUAAAAAAAAAUAUAUCUUCGAGAUAGAAUUCGUCUACCUUGAACGCUUACUAAGUCGGUAGUCCAGGAGUGUUUCAGGAGUUCCAGACAAUAACCUU